rnacentral:rRNA from 1 species
UACGUAGGCAGCAAGCGUUGUUCGGAGUUACUGGGCGUAAAGGGAGCGUAGGUGGCCUUAUAAGUCAGUGGUGAAAUCUCUCAGCUUAACUGAGAAAUUGCCAUUGAUACUGUAGGGCUUGAGUACAGAUGCCGUUGGCGGAAUAUGACAUGUAGUGGUGAAAUACAUAGAGAUGUCAUAGAACACCGAUCGCGAAGGCAGCUGACGAAACUGUAACUGACACUGAGGCUCGAAAGUGCGGGGAUCAAACAGG